rnacentral:rRNA from 1 species
CCUACGGGAGGCAGCAGUGAGGAAUAUUGGUCAAUGGACGAGAGUCUGAACCAGCCAAGUAGCGUGAAGGAUGACUGCCCUCUGGGUUGUAAACUUCUUUUAUAAAGGAAUAAAACGCGGCACGUGUGCCUUUUUGCCUGUCCUUUAUGAAUAAGGCUCGGCUAACUCCGUGCCAGCAGCCGCGGUAAUACGGAGGAUCCGAGCGUUAUCCGGAUUUAUUGGGUUUAAAGGGAGCGUAGAUGGGUUGUUAAGUCAGUUGUGAAAGUUUGCGGCUCAACCGUAAAAUUGCAAUGGAUACUGGCAGUCUUGAGUACAGUUGAGGUAGGCGGAAUUCGUGGUGUAGCGGUGAAAUGCUUAGAUAUCACGAAGAACCCCGAUUGCGAAGGCAGCUUACUAAACUGUGACUGACAUUGAUGCUCGAAAGUGUGGGUAGCAAACAGGAUUAGAUACCCGGGUAGUC